rnacentral:rRNA from 1 species
UACGUAGGGCGCAAGCGUUAUCCGGACUUAUUGGGCGUAAAGAGCUCGUAGGCGGUUUGUCGCGUCUGCCGUGAAAGUCCGGGGCUCAACUCCGGAUCUGCGGUGGGUACGGGCAGACUAGAGUGAUGUAGGGGAGACUGGAAUUCCUGGUGUAGCGGUGAAAUGCGCAGAGAUCAGGAGGAACACCGGUGGCGAAGGCGGGUCUCUGGGCCGAUACUGACACUGAGGAGCGAAAGCGUGGGGAGCGAACAGG